CUCUUCCCCUUGGAUGUGGAAUGGUAAUUUUGUUAGCUUACUGAAAAAGAGUUUUUUUUGUGAUUUAUUUGUUGUGUGAGUGGCUUGUGCAGCACAAUCUCUCAGCAUGGCAGUGAAUACACAAUGUCCCAGGAGGAAUGGGAUUGAAGAUGACAAUGGAAUGUUUUGUGGAGUGGUGCGCACUUUAUGCUCUCUGAACAAUCAUAGUUAUCGCGUUUGGGGAUCGUCGCUGCCAACGAACAUUCAUGAAGUUUACCUCCAUAGUGCAUGUGUCACUGUGUACAGUGGCUUCACACAACAGUUCUUUGAAGAACUUGGACCCCAAGGACCAAGCAGCAUGAACAGCACACAUUACUGUGAUAUGCUUCGCCAGCAUGUGAUCCCUGCUCUAUGGAAGAGAGGUGCUGUGGACUAGACUGGUUGGAUACAUGAUGGAGUUCCACCUCACAUUGCUUGCAAGGUCGCUCGGUCACUCCGUGUUUGGAGAAAAUUAAAUCAUUGGCUAAUCAUUCCAAACCUCAUGGCUGUCAAGAUCACCAGAUUUGAACCUGUGUGAUUUCUGGCUGCAGGGUUACCUGAGGGACAGGGUUUAUCAAUGGAAUACUUGAGUAUCGGAUCUUCCACCUGGGAUGCACUGUACAAUCAAUCAAGGUAAACCCAGUUGAAGGAUGGCCAUGAUAACUGUAUUCAAACAUGUGAAGCAUCUUGGUGAUUGGAGGGCAAAAUCAGAGGAAGAAUGACUAUGACAUUUACAUAGUUAAACAAGGAGAAGAUUGCUUAUGGAACGUCCAGAGCAAGGAAUAUAAAAACACUGUUAAAAAACACGAUGCACUUGCGACAACUGCAGCAGCAUUUGGCACGGGCAAGGGAAGUGUAGAGAAAAAGAUACGAUCGCUUGUGGUUGCUCACAGGCGUGAGAAAAGAAAAAUUAUUUCCAGCAGACCAUCUGGUAGUGGUACAGACACUGCAUAUGACUUGAACUGGUUCAGCUAUUGGCUGCUGCAGUUCUUGGACGAUGUACAUGAGCCGAAGGAGACAACAGAUAUUGUGGAAAAUGAGGUUUUCGUACAUUCGCCAGAGGGCACAAAUGAAGAUGAAGAGGUUGCGGUUGGACCUUCCAGUCCUCCUCCAUGAAAAAUUAGAAGGAUGGGCGAGAAAAAAGAUAUGCAGCAACCCUACAAGAUUGUGUCUCAAUUAUUAACUAAAGUACUGCAAAAACAAGAAGAGAACAAGAACGAUGAAUGUAGGCAAAACCAAUGGAUGAAUGGCCGUGAUGAUUGUAAAUUCAAACAUGUUGUCCAUCUUACUAAUUGGAGGCAAAAUGAGUUGCGGUAAUAAACACACAUGACCCUGACAACUAUAUGCGGACAUGUAAAUCAUUGUACUUACCGCAAGACAGAACUAUGGACAAAUUGAAGUUAUCGUUCAACUGAACAAAGAAAAACUUGUGGACAAAUGGACAUGAUGACUAAAUUCACACAUUAUCUGAUUUGUUGGAGCACAAGACAUAAUUGUGAUGAAUGUGUGAUUAAAAGAAGUUACUGAUGUGCCCUAAUCAUCAGUAUGUAAUUGCACAAACGUUUAUGAAGAUUCUAUCAAGAAAAGAGCCUGAAGUGAAUGUGCAAAAUGACCAUGGAAAAAUAUAUGGUCCAAUCACAUUAACGUGACCACUGCCUAUGUUUAGCAUCAAUGUGCAAGAACCACUCAGAUGACAGGUGGCAGCACUAGCAGAGGAGGGUAUACAAAGCAUGUCAGAGGCACGCAGAAAACGGUGCAGUCAUUUUCAUAAUGUGAAAACGGAGCAAUGUAUCUGACAUCCAAAGAGGCAUGAUAAUUGACUUUCUGUCCGAGGAUGGAAGCAUUUCUGAAAAGGCUAAGUUCGUAAACUGUUUGCAAGUCACUGCUGUUAAUGUAUACCGGCACUGUAAAUAUGGUGCUCCACGGGCCUUAAAUGGCAGGGGUGAAUGACAGUUUCGGGGCUGUGUGUGGACAAAUAGGUGUGCAAGUAUUGAGCAACUGACUGCCCAGAUGAACUGAGGCAAGCUAACACUGCAUUAUCAAUGAAUUUUCAGUGAAUGUUGCUGCGUAUGAACCUCUGUAGCAGGUGUCUCAUACAUGCUGACUGCUAUUCAUUGGGAUGAAGGCUGAAAUUUGCACUACAGUACCAGAACUGGACGUGCACUGAUUGGUGCCAGGUGGUUUUUUCAGAUGAAUUGCGUUUUGUGCUCCAUUGGACAGAUGGCUGUUGGUGUGAACAGCACGACACUAGAGUUGGCAAGGCUCCACAUCUGUAUCAAGAGCUUUCAGAACCUCAUUGACCGUCUUUCUGCAUGUCUCUCAGCAAUCCUCACUACAGAAGGUGGUUAUUUAGACUUUUGACUUGUGGUCACAUUGAUGUAACUGGACUUUGAAUAUUUGACAUUUAUCUACGAGGGUUGUUUUUUAAGUAAGGGCCGUUCGCGCGUAUAGUCCCAUAGUUCGCGCGGACGUCGCAACAAGCCACCGCACCACUUGCCAGCAUCCUUCCUGUUCACACUGAUGCAAGUUGCAGCUCUGUAGCUGACGUGUACGCAUCGCUGUGCUACUUUAUAAUGUUUACGAUUAUUGAAUCGCCCGCCGCGUGUGCGAUACGGUCAGUGAUAUGUUUUUCGACCGCGAGAAGCCUAUCAGCUGCAGAAAUUCAUCAUCAGUUAACAGAAGUUUGUCUUGAAUGCAAUGAGUGAAGGUAAAGUGCGUCAAUGGGUUAGAGAGUUAAAAAUGGCCGUCAAAAC